AUCUUAGCAGGCAGUGCUGGGAAAUCAGGCCCGGCUGGUUUAAUGAUUGUCAGAGUCUGUCAUCCCGCACCCUCUGGGGUUGGGCACGGGGCACUGGCCUGGGCAGGUGGCGGGAACGUUGCUGGGGUGGGCAUCUGUGCUUUCGGCUGCCCUCUGGCCCAGGAAAUUCCUCCCAGGGGCCAGGCCAGAGAUGGGCCAGGCAGGGGGAGGGCAAGUGAGGGAACAUGAACCCCUGGCUGACCUGAGUCAGAAAGCUGCUGGCCCCUAAAUUCCAGAGAUUCAGCAACAAAGAGGCCUAGUAGGGAGAGGAGUUACUAGGUUUAGGGGUUUUUCCCAGAACACCCAGGACUCUGGCCAGGGGCUGGAAGGUGCUCCAGGCUCAAUGCUGGGCAAUACUCAUGGAUUAAUUGGUGCUGGCUGGGCCUGCCAGCCUAGUCGUGGCCCCAGGGUCCCCACUAAAGGGCUCCUUCUCCAGCGCCCACUCUGUUGGCAAGGUCUUCACUACCAUCACCUGCCUGGACUCCAUCCAAGCAUCAGGGUUGCUGCAGUCGCUCCUGAAGAGACCCGGCUCUGCUUGAAAGUUCUUCCCUCAGCGCCUGCUGGAGCCCUCCCUGCCGGAGUUGCCAGAAUCCACACGGAAUCCACAGAUCUGCCCUGAUGAUCAUGAAGGAAUGCGAAAGAGCCUGGUAAAACGAUAUGGACUUGUGCAAAUGCAAAGCAAUGGUGAAGUCAUCACGAACCGCACAGACUGGACAGAACUCCUAUCUGGCUGCAAUGGCUUGGGUUCAGUCAGCCCAGGGGCCAGAGAAUUGGCUACAAAGAGCUCUGGAGUGCCCCUCCCUCCAAAUAAAGUAUUCUAAGCGUGCACUGAUCAACAUGAAGUUCGCAUUAACUUGGGGCUCCAAGCUCAAUUGAGGGGAGUGGGUGUCAGACAGAGGAGCCUCCUGGACCUGGUUCAAUCUUCACGCGGAGCUUGUUGAGUGGGUUUUCCUCUCCAGUGAUGUCCAUGUGCUGACGCAGCAGAGCCCGCCCCGUUGCAGCCUCCAAGCAGGUGUACGCAGCGCCUGGUGCAGAAUCAAACGUAAGCCUCGGGAAAACGUCUGUCACCACAUCCAAGUGUAUUUUCCUGACAGAGACACUGUGCUGCCUCCUUGUGGCCUCAAGAAGAACAGCGACAGAUACCUGAAGCUUAAUAACAUUACCCUCCUGGGGACCCAGGGCAAAUAGGGACAGUUACAGAGAGCCUGACUCAGUCCCUAGCUCCCUGUUGCUGUGGGCUACAAAGGACUUGGUUAACUCAGGCUGUUGGUCUCUCUCCUAAGUGAGGACUGGGGGAAUCGCACCUUUCUGACAGUUACCUUUCCUUAUCAAAGUACUGUAUUUUUAUUUUAUCUUAUUUCAUUUAUUUUAUUAUUUUAUUUUUUGAGACAAAGCCUCACUCUGUCACCCAGGCUGGAGUGCAAUGGCGUGAUCUUGGCUCACUGCAACCUCCGUCUCCUCCUGGGUUCAAGCGAUUCUUCUGCAUCAGCCUCCUGAGUAGCCGGGAUUACAGGUGUGCACCACCACGCCCAGCUAAUUUUUGUAUUUUUAGUAGAGAGGGGGCUUUACCACGUUGGCCAAGCUCAAACUCCUGAUCUCAGGUGAUAUGCCCGCCUUGGCCUCCCAAAGUGCUGGGAUUACAAGCGUGAACCACCACGCCCAGCCCCCGGCCUUAUUUUUAGAAAAUGAUUUGAUUUUUUUUUUUUUUUUGAGACAGAGUCUCGCUCUGUUGCCCAGGCUGGAGUGCAGUGGCACGAUCUCGGCUCACUGCAUCCUCCACCUCCUGGAUUCAAGCAAUUCUCCUAUCUCAGCUUACCAAGUAGCUGGGACUACAGGCACACACCAUGAUGCCUGGCUAAUUUUUGUAUUUUUAGUAGAGACGGGGGUUUCACCAUUUUGGUCAGGCUGGUCUCAAACUCCUGACCUCAGGUGAUCCACCUGCCUCAGGCGUGAGCCACCAUGCCUGGCAAUGACUUGAUCUUCUGUGAAAACUUAGAAUUAUUUUCAUCUAACUGUUUCUGUCAGACAAAAGAAAUUAUCAACCCCAAAUUUUUAAGGAUCUCUAAGUCUCCUUCUGCAUUAAAAACAAUGACUGAGGGAACAGUGGAGGGGUGGGGCACAGGGUUUUGGAACCAGCCAGCUCUGCCCUUUCCUAGAUGUUUUGACUCUGAGUAAGUGGCUUAGCCUCUCUCAGCCUCAGUUUCUUCAACUGUACAAUGGGAUAAAAAUAUUUGCUUGCAGGAUUCCUAAUGGCUGAUUAAGAUAUUCACAAACAGGCUCUUGCUAUAUAUAUUCUGAAUGAAAGUACAGAAUUUGUACAAACUUUCUGGAAGAUAAUGGACAAUAUGUACUAAAAAGACUAUGUAAUUUAAAACGUUCAGGGCCGGGCGCAGUGGCUCACAGCUGUUGUCUCAGCACUUUGGGAGGCUUAGACAGGCAGGUCACUUGAGGCCAGGAGUUCAAGACCAGUCUGGCCAAUAUGCCGAAAUCCUGUCUCUACUAAAAACAUAAAAACUAGCUGGGCAUGGUGGUGCAUGCCUGUAAUCCCAGCUACAGGGAGUGGGAUGUGGGGGAGCUGAGGCAGGAGAAUUGCUUGAACUACGGAGGUGGAGGUUGCAAUGAGCCGAGAUUGCAACGCUGCACUCCAGCCUGGCAACAGAACAAGACUCUGUCUCAAAAAAAAAAAAAAAAAAAAAGUUCAGACCCAGAAAUUAUGUUUCUAAGAAUUUAUCAUUGUUGAAAUCAUCUGAUAUGAAUAGACAUUUAUGUGUAAGGAAAUUUGUCAACAUAUUUCAAUGGAAAAUUGGAAACAACCAGUAAAUUAAAAAACAUCCAUAUAUGCAGCUAUAGAAGAAAAUCUAAUGGGCUGGGCAUGGUGGCUCACGCCUGUAAUCCUGGCACUUUGAGAGGCCGAGGAGGUUGGAUCACCUGAGGUCAUGAGUUCGAGACCAGCCUGACCAACAUGGAGAAACCUCGUCUCUUCUAAAAAUACAAAAUUAGCCAGGUGUGGUGGCGCAUGCCUGUAAUCCCAGCUACUCGGGAGGCUGAGGCAGGAGAAUCGCUUGAAGCCGGG
rnacentral:lncRNA from 1 species